UCGUGGAGUGAUUUGUCUGCUUAAUUGCGAUAACGAACGAGACCUUAACCUGCUAAAUAGCCAGGCUAGCUUUGGCUGGUCGCCGGCUUCUUAGAGGGAUUAUCGGCUCAAGCCGAUGGAAGUUUGAGGCAAUAACA
rnacentral:rRNA from 1 species